rnacentral:rRNA from 1 species
UAGAGAGAGACAUGCGCGCAUAUCAAUAAGCGGAGGAAAAGAAACUAACAAGGAUUCCCCUAGUAACGGCGAGUGAAGCGGGAAGAGCUCAAAUUUGAAAUCUUAAAGGGUUUCCCUUUACGAAUUGUAGUUUAAAGAAGUGUUUUCUGUUGAGGUUUUGGUAAAAGUUCUUUGGAAUAGGACAUCAUAGAGGGUGAGAAUCCCGUAUUUGACCUUUACUUUCAACUUUGUGAUAUACUUUCAAAGAGUCGGAUUGUUUGGGAAUGCAGUCCAAAAUGGGUGGUAAAUUUCAUCUAAAGCUAAAUAUUGGCGAGAGACCGAUAGCGAACAAGUACCGUGAGGGAAAGAUGAAAAGAACUUUGAAAAGAGAGUUAAACAGUACGUGAAAUUGUCAAAAGGGAAGCGUUUGACACCAGUGUUGUUUUUCUGAAAAUCAAUUAAAGAACUGUUUAUGCUAAGUUGUUUAGACUUUAUCAGCUAACUGUUUAGUUUUGAGCUUUUCUUUAAUGCACUUUUCAGUUAACAAGUCAACAUCAAUUUCUUUUGCUGUAAAAAAGCUUGAGGAAGGUGGCUUGAGAUUCGUCUUAAGUGUUUAUAGCCUCUUGCCUAUGCAGUCGGAGAGAUUGAGGUCUGCAGCGUAGAUCCUUCGGGGCUAAAUGCAUUUGUGCUAAGUUAUAGCAUUUUAUAGACAACUUGUUGACUAUGAUUUGUCUUGUAGCUUACUCGCUUAUGUUAUUUUACCUACGCUUAGGAUGUUGACGCAUGAGAUAUACGC